GGCACUAUGGCCGAGUUGGUCUAAGGCGGUAGACUCAAGAAUUAUUCUUCUCCUGCGAUCCAGGGGUUUCUACUAUCGUAAGAUGCAGGAGUUCGAAUCUCCUUGGUGUCA
rfam:Candida albicans SC5314 chromosome R sequence.